CAGAGCCCACGCCUCCAAUGGCGAGGCCGGCGGCCCUGGAGAACAGGGGCGAGGCCUGUGUGUGCCCCCUCGUCCACCUUUAGCCUUGCCCUGGAACUGACCAGAAUCGAUGCCCCUCUUCCUCAGGGCCAGCCGAGUGCUCCGUCCUCUUCCCAUGCCUCGGGAGAGACCCGUCUCCUCUGACAGACUCAAGAUUCCAGGCCGAACUUUCCCAUGCCAUCGUCCCUCAAAAUAGCCGGAGCUGAGCUGUAUUUAUAGCCGUGGUCAAGACCCUGUUCUCUAUAAAACCCAGAUGAAGAACUGUAUCGCAGGAAACUCAGAGGCGGUCCCUGGAGAACCAACUGCGGCUACUGUUCUGAAGGCGAGGAUGGCUCCAGAUGGCUGCCCGGGAAACUCACUGGGCUCCGAGGCCUGGUGUUGGCUACGGUCACAAGGCAGCCAGGGGCACACCCGGCCCAUCCUGCUGAGGGGCUGUCUUGCCAAUGGGUUUGCGGGGCUGUGCAAGCCUGGAUGGCAGAGAGCUGGGGGGAAAGGCCCUCCCGUAAAUUCUCCUGGCCAUCCUUUCUAACACUUGGGGAAUGGUGUUGGGGUGGAAACCAUUUCAAAUAAUUAAAACAUUUGGUCCCUGUUUA